UACGUAGGGGGCAAGCGUUGUCCGGAAUCAUUGGGCGUAAAGCGCGUGUAGGCGGUCCGGUAAGUCCGCUGUGAAAGUCGGGGGCUCAACCCUCGGAUGCCGGUGGAUACUGUCGGGCUUGAGUACGGAAGAGGCGAGUGGAGUUCCUGGUGUAGCGGUGAAAUGCGCAGAUAUCAGGAGGAACGCCAAUUGCGAAGGCAGCUCGCUGGGACGUUACUGACGCUGAGACGCGAAAGCGUGGGGAGCAAACAGG
rnacentral:rRNA from 1 species